AACUGUCCCUGUUCCACAUUUGAGACAGUUUCUACGACGGUCAAAGACAAGUGUCGUAGCUUUUUAAAUAAAAAAGAACAUAUCAUUUGCAAAUGAGGUCCACGACGGUUGCUGAACCGACCUCUCAUCUUUGUUGGGACGGUUAUACAACAGCCGCAUCUUUCCCCCUUAAAAUUUCGCUACCCGCAUUUGCCAAUAUUUUGUUUUCCAUUUCCCUCUUUGUAUUUCAAACUACUAGCACUUUCCAAACCCUAUUUUCAUCAUAAUUUCAAAUUCACGUUCCUCCAACUCAUAUCUCAGAAUUCUAUUGUCUCAUAAAACUACAUAUCUAUAAUCUAUAUUUUCAAAGAACCAUGAAGAUUAGGUCAUAAUCAGUUUCAACAAAGAUUAGGUCACAUCCUCAUUCAUUCAUCUUCAACAAAUACUAGGUCACAUUUUUGUUCGAUUAGCUUCAAUUAGGUCUCAAUUUCAUUCCGGGUUGAUCUCAUCUUACAAUCAAGUUUGAUUUCAAUCAGCUCCUCAUGAUGAUAUCCAACUUAAGAAAGGGAAGAACACAAGAAAUUUCUAUUUCUCUACACUUAAGAUGAGGAUGCGGCAGGGUUUUGGCUACUAAGCAACUGGGUUAUUUUAUUGGAGAGAGAAAACAUGAAAAGUAUAAAAAUCCUAGAGAUUCCUCUGAUAUUCGGGUUGAGGAUCUUAUUAGCAAGAUGACUCUUAUGGAGAAAAUUGGUCAAAUGUUACAGGUGAAUCUGAAGCCUGAUGAGAAGUGAAAGAAGCAUAAUUUUUGAAAUUAAGUCAAAAGAGUUGGAGCAGAAAUUAGUUGAAGUUAGUACCGAGUGUAGUAUUGUUUCUGGGCGAGGAGGGCAUCCAAAUUUGGUAUUUACGGUGAGCUGAAAGUAUAUUUUUGUUUGUUGAACAUUGAUCUUUGUUUUCCCAAAUUAUGUGUUUGUUUUCUGUUAAAUGCUUGUAUAGGCUUCACUGAAACUAGGAGGGACUAUUACUUUUGAACAUCAGAAUCUGCGAAGAAUAAAUAGGUCACUUACUGCUUCAAUGACAACUAGUAGCUUCUCGAAUCCUCAUGUACCCUUAUACUAGUUCAUCGAGUUCUUUUCUCCAUUUUAUAGAAAGAUUUCUUUAGCUUAUCAUUUGUAUGGUGUAGACAAUCCACGGCACCGAAUGCUCCGUGUAAGUUGCUUCAAUAGUUGAAAACAGAGUCCACUGUUUAAUGGAGGGCCAAGGGUGGAUGAAGUGGCUUCAAUAUGGGUUAACCAUGCUGGUGUAAAAGCUAAUAUCCCUGAGAUAAGUUUACUGGUUAUCUUACACUAGUAUUCUUUAUUUGGCUUUUUAAUUAGUUUAUAACUUACUUUUUAACUUACAAUUCUUGUUUUCGCAAAGCAGAAUUUUUCUUGACAGAGUAAAUUCACUUAUGGAUUGUUAAUGGAAGAGAUAAUGACACGUGAUGAAAGCAAUCAUAUAUGUUCCAAUGGUCAAAGAGUAUUACCUAAUAAAGGAAUCAGUGAAGAUGUACCUCCAUGGAAUUACUUAUUGA